AGGCAAGUUAAAAGCCAAUUAAACAAGUUUUGGUGGAUUAAGAAGAAAAGGCCGCGGUCACUCAAAAAAAAAAAAGGCACUCAUCACGUCUCCCUCAACCGUUCCGGCCUGCUCUUUGACGACUCAAUCUCAACGAUUCAAUCUCGAAUGCCACCAAUCUUUCUUUUCGUUGUUAUUGAUUUUUCAUGUUGCAGUGAUCAUCAGAAUUGUCUCCUAUCUCCUCUCUCAUGCUCACCGAUUGUGUUGAUCUCCGAUUGUAAUUUGAUAUUUUGCGAAUUUUAUUCGAUUUGGGUGGAUUUCGUUUGGGUCUUUUUAAUUUUGGUUUGGUUUGGGUUUUCAGGUUGUGAUUUGCGAUUCAUUGGCGACUUUGUGCGCUCUAAUCGGUAAAUUAUUCUCUUAAAUCUUUCUCUGAACUUGCAUAAAAUUUAGGGAGAACGAUUGUUUGUACUGUAUGCUUCUUCAUAUUGGCAUCAACUUAAACCCAUAUGAAUCGAAUGCUCUGUUUAUUUUAUGCCAAUUUCACUCGAAUCUCGAGCUCCAUUUCUGUCUUGGGGUAUUGGCGUUGUAGCUGAAGAAAGACCAGGAUUGGGAAAGAUGAGAUUUUGGAAGUGGGUUUUUGCUUGGUUUGUUUGUGUGUCUUUGGUUGUUGAGAUUGGUUUUGGGGAGCAAGCUCUAACUGAGAGGAUUUUAGGUAGGGAAAACUGUAAAGACUUCAUUUUUAGAUGAUUCUCUUUUUGGGCUUUUACUGUUUUGAUGUAUUUGUGGAAACUUGUAUUUCCAGAUACUUAAAAGCUUGAAACUUGAUGUUAAAAUGGUCUAAUGGCUGAGGAGCAUCUAUAGUAAUGCUGGUUUACUUGAAUGGAAUUGGAGCUCCAGAAAGCUAGCAAAUGCAUAACGUCAUUGUUUAACUGAAAUGACCAGAAGACAACUACAUUUUUUAUAGCUAGCUAUUAACUAGGAGCGUGUGCCUCCUUAUCUUUCUCUACUACAGCUGCAAUUUGUUCUUGUUCUUGGUUUUGUUAGCUAGCUGAGUUCUAAUUUUCAGUUUGUUCUUGCUUUUGUUUUGAUUUAUUUUCAGGUUUUGCUGAGCUCACUUCAAUCCAAAAAUUGCUUUAGUAAAUACACAAAAAUUGUCCAUGUAUGCUCUAACUUUCCAGGUAGUCUAUUCUAUUUUCCUUUUUAUUUUCUUCAUGGUUUAUGGGGUAUAGGACCAGACUUGAAAUAUGAUGGUAGCAGUAAGACACAUGUAUAUAACAUAAUAGAAAAGAGUAUUAUAUGAUUUUGGAUAUAUACAGUGUUAAUUAAAUUGGAAGAAGAAUUAUGUUGCUAAUAUCAAUCAAGAGGCAAGCACAUAAACCAUUGUUAUAAUUCUUUGCUACUAUCUGUAUCAGAAUUAUUAGGCUAUGCAAUAUGCUUUUAAUUAAAUCCCUGCGAUACUAAUGUCAGUGUGUAUGUAUAUAAAUAUAUAUUAUUAAUAAUUGACAUCUUCUCUUCUCUUUUUUGGUUAAAUGACAAGUUUUCUUCUUAAAUGAUCAUGUUAAGGAUGUUUAAAGCAAUACUGAGAAACACCAAGGAAAACAAAAGGCGUGCGUACCAUCCACCAACAUGUUCCAUAUCAUGCCUUCAUGCUCUAUCAUUGGUACAACCAUCAUUGCUNNNN
rnacentral:lncRNA from 1 species